rnacentral:rRNA from 1 species
AGUGAACGCUGGCGGUAGGCCUAACACAUGCAAGUCGAACGGCAGCACAGGAGAGCUUGCUCUCUGGGUGGCGAGUGGCGGACGGGUGAGGAAUACAUCGGAAUCUACUCUGUCGUGGGGGAUAACGUAGGGAAACUUACGCUAAUACCGCAUACGACCUACGGGUGAAAGCAGGGGACCUUCGGGCCUUGCGCGAUUGAAUGAGCCGAUGUCGGAUUAGCUAGUUGGCGGGGUAAAGGCCCACCAAGGCGACGGUCCGUAGCUGGUCUGAGAGGAGGAUCAGCAACGCUGGAGCUGAGAGACGGUCCAGACUCCUACGGGAGGCAGCAGUGGGGAAUAGUGGACAAUGGGCGCAAGCCUGAUCCAGCCAUAACGCGUGGGUGAAGAAGGCCUUCGGGUUGUAAAGCCCUUUUGUUGGGAAAGAAAUCCAGAUGGCUAAUACCCGGUUGGGAUGACGGUACCCAAAGAAUAAGCACCGGCUAACUUCGUGCCAGCCGCCGCAGUAA